AUGGCCCCGCCCCCUGCCGGCUCGCCGUGGGCGGGGCCUGGGCCCGCGCUUCCGCCGCUUCCUCCGGGGAAGAUCUCCGGGUGAGGGAUACGGCAGAAAAGAGAUGUGGAGAGGGAGCUGGCUGCUGUGACGUGGUCCCGUCGCGGGCCAGGCUCCGGGAGUGAGUGAGCCUGCAGGACGCCGCCUCAGAAUUGAUAUGAAGUUGCUGUUCACUAACUCGGCUCUGCCCAGACCUUUCCAGACCUUUUGGGAGAAAUGGCAGUUUUCACUGCAAAGCGUUCUCACAGCUAAAGUCCUGAGGGUGGGCACAUCACGUCUGCACCAAGGUCGCAUCUCCGAGACUGCGCACCGGGACCUGGACCCACCCCCGCACAUGCUCCUCCAUGGAUUGAAGAGGCAAGGUUCCCGGGAACAGGUGGGAGCAGCCCUGGGGGACACAGCGCAGGGUCCCCUCCAGAAGACCCCUUCCCGGCUCAGAGCUAAAAUGUCACCACUCUCAAGGGCGCAGGAACCAAAGCCACUUCCGGGGCCUCCCUCCAGUUCCUGCCGUGAUGCUGAUCACAGUGACCUGGGUGCCUUCCCCACCUGGCGCUUCUAAUCCCCUGAUCUGAGCACCCGGCUUUCUUGUGACCCAGCACACACUCUCCAGGAGAUUUCAAAGCUUCCAUCCCAGCCGGGUGGACCAGAAUCUUCCAUCCUGGUUAUCCGCCAUUCUGCCCAUUGAGGUGGCUGUCACCCUGUGAGGACCACAAGACGCCUUCAGGAGGGAACAGUGAAGUGACCUAAAUCUCUGGCUGGAGGAGGCGCAUCCUAUGCUCCCCCUUCUGUAGCUGGUGCUGCAGAUGAGCCAGGGCGCCCUGUGUGUCCUGGUUUACGGAGCGGAAGGUGCGGUCACCCAGGAAACCGUCAGGGACCUCUCUGCACCCAGGGCAGGUUCUAAGGCAUGAAAGAUCAAUUCUGUGGAGACUGCUUGGCCCCAGAGCUGCCGGGGAAUCUGCCAGAGAGCCCAUGGUUUCCAUAGAAACUAAGGAUGAGUUGAGCAUGAGUCCCCGUCCUGGCACUCAGGUCCUAGAAGGAAGAUCAGUAGCAGGGGUGGCGAUCGUUGGGCUAGGGCUCGCUGCCCCGGCUGUGAGGGGACCAAGCCCAUCGGGAUGAGGCCCGCGGGGAGCAGACGGGCCCUUCUUCACCCCGAGAGGAGGCCCAAGUCUUGGA